rnacentral:rRNA from 1 species
UGUGACCUCAAAUCAGGUAGGACUACCCGCUGAACUUAAGCAUAUCAAUAAGCGGAGGAAAAGAAACUAACAAGGAUUCCCCUAGUAACUGCGAGUGAAGCGGGAAAAGCUCAAAUUUAAAAUCUGGCAGUCUUUUGGCUGUCCGAGUUGUAAUCUAGAGAAGUGUUAUCCGCGCUGGACCGUGUACAAGUCUCCUGGAAUGGAGCAUCAUAGAGGGUGAGAAUCCCGUCUUUGACAUGGACUACCAGGGCUUUGUGAUGCGCUCUCAAAGAGUCGAGUUGUUUGGGAAUGCAGCUCAAAAUGGGUGGUAAAUUCCAUCUAAAGCUAAAUAUUGGCGAGAGACCGAUAGCGAACAAGUACCGUGAGGGAAAGAUGAAAAGAACUUUGGAAAGAGAGUUAAACAGUACGUGAAAUUGCUGAAAGGGAAACGCUUGAAGUCAGUCGCGUCAUCCAGGGAUCAACCUCGCUUUUGCUUGGUGCACUUUCUGGUUUGAUGGGUCAGCAUCAAUUUUGACCAUUGGAAAAAGAUCAAGGGAAUGUGGCAUCUUUGGAUGUGUUAUAGCCCUUGGUCACAUACAAUGGUUGGGAUUGAGGAACUCAGCACGCCGAAAGGCCGGG